GAUCGCGGUGCCGUCCUGCUGAGGUUGGGGCUCACAAACGCCCCAAUACGCGCCCCUCCCUGAGCCCGCUGGCUGCGCGCCGCGAGUGAGUGCCGCCCGGUCAGUGCGUCCUGAGCGCGAAGCUCUCGCCGACGACGCGCAGCCUCGGGUCCCGGCGCCUGGAGUGGAGCGAGGGAACCGCACAGGCGGGCGGGCGCGCGGGCCGGGAGGGGCCGGCGGCCUCAGGGCCCCACAGGCCGGGGACCCGCGCCCCCUAGUGGCCGUGGACAGGCCCCGCCCGUGCAGGCCGCAGCCUGGAGAUGGACCAAGUACGUUCGCCUGGGGCAACGCGGGGUCCCGCAGCCGGAAAUCCGAGUCUGACUUAGGGUUCCCCCAAACGUCACUGUGGACAGGGACCUGCUGACCCUGCUGACCGGAAGCCUCGCCCGCGACGUGCAUGGUGCACAGUAGCCCCCGUUGCAGGGCCUGUGGGCUCUGCUCCGUGCGCCGCCCCGAGGGAGCCAGGGGACGGCAAGUGUCACCAGGAAAUCGCGGGGGAGAGGAGAUACGUCAUCGAUUGAAUGCGACCAUAAUGCCUCCAUCAGCGUCACCCCCACUGUCGCCUUCAGGGGAUGUGCUAGGGAAUCGGCCAUAAGGAGGUUCAGGAAUCCUCCUUCCCAGCCAGACACCCCCUCCCCCGCCCCCAACACCCAGGAAAAACCCCGGCGCCCUGGCCGGUGUGGCUCAGUGGAUAGAGCGUCCGUCGGAGGAGACUGAAGGGUCCCGGGUUCGAUUCCGCUCCACGACAUGUAGCUCGGUUGCAGGCUCCUCCCCGGCCCGGUGCCCUGGUCGGGGCCUCUUCUCUGUCCCCCUCUCUCGUCCACUCUCCCUAAAUAUCAAUGGAAAAAUACCCUCAGGUGAGGAUAAAAAAAUAAAAAUGAAAAAGUAGUAUCUUUAAAAAAACACACAAAAAGGAAA